rnacentral:rRNA from 1 species
GACGAACGCUGGCGGCGUGCUUAACACAUGCAAGUCGAACGGAAAGGCCCUGCUUUUGUGGGGUGCUCGAGUGGCGAACGGGUGAGUAACACGUGAGUAACCUGCCCUUUACUUUGGGAUAACUUCAGGAAACUGGGGCUAAUACCGGAUAGGAGCUCCUGCUGCAUGGUGGGGGUUGGAAAGUUUCGGCGGUUGGGGAUGGACUCGCGGCUUAUCAGCUUGUUGGUGGGGUAGUGGCUUACCAAGGCUUUGACGGGUAGCCGGCCUGAGAGGGUGACCGGCCACAUUGGGACUGAGAUACGGCCCAGACUCCUACGGGAGGCAGCAGUGGGGAAUAUUGCACAAUGGGCGGAAGACUGAUGCAGCAACGACGCGUGAGGGAUGACGGCCUGCGGGUUGUAAACCGCUUUCGCCUGUGACGAAGAGUGAGUGACGGUAAUGGGUAAAGAAGCACCGGCUAACUACGUG